UACAGAGGUCUCAAGCGUUGUUCGGAUUCAUUGGGCGUAAAGGGCGCGUAGGCUGCGGGGCAAGUCGGGUGUGAAAUCUCAGAGCUCAACUCUGAAACUGCACUCGAUACUGCUUUGCUUGAGGACUGGAGAGGAGAUUGGAAUUCACGGUGUAGCAGUGAAAUGCGUAGAUAUCGUGAGGAAGACUAGUGGCGAAGGCGGAUCUCUGGACAGUUCCUGACGCUGGGGCGCGAAGGCCAGGGGAGCAAACGGG
rnacentral:rRNA from 1 species